UACAGAGGGUGCAAACGUUGUUCGGAAUUACUGGGCGUAAAGCGCGUGUAGGCUGCUCGGAAAGUCGGAUGUGAAAUCCCUCGGCUUAACCAAGGAAGUGCAUCCGAAACUGCUGUGCUUGAGUACUUAAGAGGAUCGCGGAAUUCCCGGUGUAGAGGUGAAAUUCGUAGAUAUCGGGAGGAACACCAGUGGCGAAGGCGGCGAUCUGGGAAGAUACUGACGCUGAGGUGCGAAAGCGUGGGGAGCAAACAGG
rnacentral:rRNA from 1 species